GAACUAAAAGGAAGUGAAUUCAUAGCAAGUAAUUGGGAAGGUGCCUGGUGCAAAGUGGGAAGUCAUCAACCACAAUAGCUAGGAAGUGGGGUGAGGUCACACCUCCUUCAGCCUGCUGCAGACAAGGAGCUGAAGGGAGAUCGCUGAGAGCCCCUGCUGCUCAGAAAAUAUUGGACAUUACUCAGAUAUUGAGGUCUUUUUUGAAGAGGUCGUUGAAUGUCUCUGGGACACACUGAGCAGAGACGAACUGCUACUCCUGCUGAAUGAAUUCCUGGAGAGAAUUGAGGCUGAGGCCAGUUUGUCCAGAAAAUUAGAGAUACCAAGGCAACAUUUCAUGCAAAGA